ensembl:snoRNA small nucleolar RNA U109
UGGCAUGUGGAAAUGUCUUCUCUUCAUUCCUUGUGGAGCAGGAAUAUAUCCAUGACACGCUACAUUAAAAAAAGGAGUUUUCAGGGCUGCCAACCUUAUAGUAGAGGUUGAGUGGUAGUACAUUUCUCCUACAUUA